rnacentral:rRNA from 1 species
GACGUAGGGCGCAAGCGUUGUCCGGAUUUAUUGGGCGUAAAGAGCUCGUAGGCGGCUUGCCACGUCUGCCGUGAAAACCCGCAGCUCAACUGCGGGCUUGCGGUUGAUACGGGUGGGCUGGAGUUCGGUAGGGGAGACUGGAAUUCCUGGUGUAGCGGUGAAAUGCGCAGAUAUCAGGAGGAACACCAAUGGCGAAGGCAGCACUCUGGGACGUGACUGACGCUGAGACGCGAAAGCGUGGGGAGCAAACAGG